rnacentral:rRNA from 1 species
GACGGAGGGGGCUAGCGUUGUUCGGAAUUACUGGGCGUAAAGAGCGUGUAGGUGGUUUAAUAAGUUGGAAGUGAAAGCCCGGGGCUUAACCUCGGAAUUGCUUUCAAAACUGUUAAUCUAGAGUGUAGUAGGGGAUGAUGGAAUUCCUAGUGUAGAGGUGAAAUUCUUAGAGAUUAGGAGGAACACCGGUGGCGAAAGCGGUCAUCUGGGCUACAACUGACACUGAGGCGCGAAAGCGUGGGGAGCAAACAGG